rnacentral:tRNA from 1 species
UGAUCUUUUACACAUUUGGAUGAAGGAAUU